rnacentral:rRNA from 1 species
CAGUCGCCGCGGUAAUACGUAGGUCCCGAGCGUUGUCCGGAUUUAUUGGGCGUAAAGCGAGCGCAGGCGGUUAGAUAAGUCUGAAGUUAAAGGCUGUGGCUUAACCAUAGUACGCUUUGGAAACUGUUUAACUUGAGUGCAAGAGGGGAGAGUGGAAUUCCAUGUGUAGCGGUGAAAUGCGUAGAUAUAUGGAGGAACACCGGUGGCGAAAGCGGCUCUCUGGCUUGUAACUGACGCUGAGGCUCGAAAGCGUGGGGAGCAAACAGGAUUAGAUACCCCGGUAGUCCCUGUCUCUUAUACA